rnacentral:ncRNA from 1 species
CAUUGGGGAGCUAAAGUGAUUUGGCUGAGAGGGCAUAUAAAAUAUAUGCCGACCCGCUUAUAACCUGAUCUGGAUAAUGCCAGCGUAGGGAAUCUCU